rnacentral:rRNA from 1 species
UAGGGAAUCUUCGGCAAUGGACGGAAGUCUGACCGAGCAACGCCGCGUGAGAGAAGAAGGUUUUCGGAUCGUAAAGCUCUGUUUUUAGAGAAGAACGUUGGUAGGAGUGGAAAAUCUACCAAGUGACGGUAACUAACCAGAAAGGGACGGCUAACUACGUGCCAGCAGCCGCGGUAAUACGUAGGUCCCGAGCGUUGUCCGGAUUUAUUGGGCGUAAAGCGAGCGCAGGCGGUUCUUUAAGUCUGAAGUUAAAGGCAGUGGCUUAACCAUUGUACGCUUUGGAAACUGGAGGUCUUGAGUGCAGAAGGGGAGAGUGGAUUUCCAUGUGUAGCGGUGAAAUGCGUAGAUAUAUGGAGGCACACCGGUGGCGAGCGCGGCUCUCUGGUCUGUCACUGACGCUGAGGCUCGAAAGCGUGGGGAGCAAACAGG